AACGAACGCUGGCGGCAUGCCUAACACAUGCAAGUCGAACGAGACCUUCGGGUCUAGUGGCGCACGGGUGCGUAACGCGUGGGAACCUUCCCUUAUGUUCGGAAUAACUCCCCGAAAGGGGUGCUAAUACCGGAUAAUGUCUUCGGACCAAAGAUUUAUCGCCUUUGGAUGGUCCCGCGUUGGAUUAGCUCGUUGUUAGGGUAAAAGCCUACCAAGGCGACGAUCCAUAGCUGGUCUGAGAGAAUGAUCAGCCACACUGGGACUGAGACACGGCCCAGACUCCUACGGGAGGCAGCAGUGGGGAAUAGUGGACAAUGGGCGAAAGCCUGAUGCAGCAAUGCCGCGUGAGUGAUGAAGGCAUUAGGGUUGUAAAGCUCUUUUACCCGGGAUGAUAAUGACAGUACCGGGAGAAUAAGCUCCGGCUAACUCCGUG
rnacentral:rRNA from 1 species